AUACAGGAUUCAUCCACUGGAUUCCUCGUUCGUUGAGGAGUAUAUUCAAGAGUGGGAUGCCUCUCAGUUUGUCGUGAUAAAGAUGGGUCUUCAUGGAUGCAGACUGCGUUUACAUUUCGACAAAAACCAUUGUUAGGAAAUGUGGUACCUUGCAAUGUUGAGUUUGAAUUUAUUUAGUCAUGAGUCACGGCGGGCUUUUGAGUUCAUUUCGCUACCUCAACUCUUGGAGUUAGCAGAAGAUCACGGAGAAAUCGCUCAGUCGUGCCAAGACGCCGAGGAGCUACAACGAAGUAGAGAGAUAUCUCCCGCUUUUUUGCUCCUGCAACAAGAAAUUUUUGGGAAGGAGAUGACGGGGAGAAAGGUGGCGGCCUUCUGAGUAAGCUCAAGCCUGGCGGUGGGAGCUCAUCCAGCUCCAGCUCCUCCUCGGAUAAGGAGACGGAGGGAGCGCGCGAGAGGAACAUUCUUCGUCGCCAGAGGCGUGCACAGCGCCAACAGCGCAAGGUAGGCCUUAGUGGAACUGCCGGAACCACUGGAGUGGCUCCAGAAAUGAUCGACACUACUGUUGCACCUGUCGGAUAUGAGAAGAAGCAAGGAUUCUUUUGAAGAGAUGCUGAAACAUUGUUGGAACGUAUUCAUAGUGGACUGAAGUAGGCACCAGAAAUUAAACAGUGUGUAGGACAAUGGCAUUGUCAUUAUUCCCGUACAUUGUCGACUGAACUGGUUACGUAGCAAGUGAUGCUCACGAUGUGGUCGGAGUAGAAUUCCUUGGAGUGAUCAUGUAAAUUGAAGUACAUUAUAAUGGUAAAGAUCACGGGCUUGCUGAGGCGAAACUGACGCUCUCGCUUUGGCUCUUGCAAUCUCA